rnacentral:misc_RNA from 1 species
UUCGUCUAAGGUAUUUGAACAAGGGUAGUAACAUAUGUGUGGGUAUCCACACUAGGAGGCAACAAUUAUGGAACAAGGUAAAGUAAAAUGGUUUAAUGCAGACAAAGGUUUUGGAUUCAUCGAGCGUGAAGGUGGAGAAGACGUAUUCGUACAUUUCUCAGCUAUCCAAAUCGACGGUUACAAAUCUUUAGACGAAGGACAAAGUGUAACGUUUGAAGUAGAACAAGGACAACGUGGCCUACAAGCUACUAAUGUUCAAAAAGCUUAAUAUUAGCUGAUGAAAGACUCUCUUGUAGGGUCUUUUUU